rnacentral:tRNA from 1 species
GGGCGUGUAGCUCAGCUAGGUAGAGCACCUGGCUUUUAACUAGGUGGCCGCGUGUUCGAAUCGCGCCACGCCCGCCA